UACGAAGGGGGCUAGCGUUGCUCGGAUUGACUGGGCGUAAAGGGCGCGUAGGCGGAUAGUACAGUCAGGCGUGAAAUUCCUGGGCUCAACCUGGGGGCUGCGUUUGAUACGUAUUGUCUGGAGUUCGGAAGAGGGUCGUGGAAUUCCCAGUGUAGAGGUGAAAUUCGUAGAUAUUGGGGAGAACACCGGUGGCGAAGGCGGCGACCUGGUCCGAUACUGACGCUGAGGCGCGAAAGCGUGGGGAGCAAACAGG
rnacentral:rRNA from 1 species